AAACUUUCAACAACGGAUCUCUUGGUUCUGGCAUCGAUGAAGAACGCAGCGAAAUGCGAUAAGUAAUGUGAAUUGCAGAAUUCAGUGAAUCAUCGAAUCUUUGAACGCACAUUGCGCCCUCUGGUAUUCCGGGGGGCAUGCCUGUCCGAGCGUCAUUA
rnacentral:rRNA from 2 species